UACGUAGGCAGCAAGCGUUGUUCGGAAUUACUGGGCGUAAAGAGUGUGUAGGCGGUUUUCUAAGUUUGGGGUGAAAUCUCCCGGCUUAACUGGGAGGGUGCGCCGAAAACUGGAAGGCUUGAGUGCCGGAGAGGAUAGCGGAAUUCCCGGUGUAGCGGUGAAAUGCGUGGAUAUCGGGAGGAACACCAGUGGCGAAGGCGGCCACCUGGACGGUAACUGACGCUGAGACGCGAAAGCGUGGGGAGCAAACAGG
rnacentral:rRNA from 1 species